AACGAACGUUAGCGGCGCGCUUAACACAUGCAAGUCGUGCGAGAAAGGGAGCAAUCCCCGGUACAGCGGCGCACGGGUGAGUAACACGUAGGUAAUCUGCCCUUGGGUGGGGGAUAACCUUCCGAAAGGAGGGCUAAUACCGACAAUAAGACCAAGCUUCCGAGAGGGAGCGAGGUAAAAGCCGGCCAAUUCACGAAAGCUGGCGCCUGAGGAUGAGCCUGCGGCCCAUCAGCUAGUUGGUAGGGUAAUGGCCUACCAAGGCUAAGACGGGUAGCUGGUCUGAGAGGAUGAUCAGCCACACUGGAACUGAGACACGGUCCAGACUCCUACGGGAGGCAGCAGUGGGGAAUCUUGCGCAAUGGGGGAAACCCUGACGCAGCGACGCCGCGUGAGUGAUGAAGGCCUUCGGUUGUAAGCUCUGUGGAGAGGGACGAAUAAGUGUGGUCGAAUAGGCCGCGAUGAUGACGGUACC
rnacentral:rRNA from 1 species